CCUUUUGUAUAAUGGGUCAGCGACUUACAUUCAGUGGCAAGGUUAACCGAAUAGGGAAGCCGUAGCGAAAGCGAGUCCGAAUAGGGCGAUUCAGUCGCUGGGUGUAGACCCGAAACCAGAUGAUCUAUCCAUGGCCAGGUUGAAGGCACGGUAACACGUGCUGGAGGACCGAACCCACUAAUGUUGAAAAAUUAGGGGAUGAGCUGUGGAUAGGGGUGAAAGGCUAAACAAAUCUGGAAAUAGCUGGUUCUCUCCGAAAACUAUUUAGGUAGUGCCUCAAGUAUUACUGCGGGGGGUAGAGCACUGUUAUAGCUAGGGGGUCAUGGCGACUUACCAAACUAUGGCAAACUCCGAAUACCCGCAAGUACAGCUUGGGAGACAGAGCACCGGGUGCUAACGUCCGGACUCAAGAGGGAAACAACCCAGACCGCCAGCUAAGGUCCCAAAUUAUCGCUAAGUGGGAAACGAAGUGGGAAGGCAUAGACAGUCAGGAGGUUGGCUUAGAAGCAGCCAUCCUUUAAAGAAAGCGUAAUAGCUCACUGAUCGAGUCGUCCUGCGCGGAAGAUGUAACGGGGCUAAGCGAUAAACCGAAGCUGCGGGUGUGCACUUUGUGCACGCGGUAGGAGAGCGUUCUGUAAGCCUGCGAAGGUGGCUUGUAAAGGCUGCUGGAGGUAUCAGAAGUGCGAAUGCUGACAUGAGUAGCGAUAAAGGGGGUGAAAAGCCCCCUCGCCGUAAGUCCAAGGUUUCCUGCGCAACGUUCAUCGGCGCAGGGUGAGUCGGCCCCUAAGGCGAGGCAGAGAUGCGUAGCUGAUGGGAAGCUGGUUAAUAUUCCAGCACCGUCGUACAGUGCGAUGGGGGGACGGAUCGCGGAAGAUCAUCAGGGUGUUGGAUGUCCCUGUUGCUGCAUCGAAGAUGGCGCUUAGGCAAAUCCGGGCGCGUAAAUCAAGGGUGUGGCACGAGCGAGCAUUGCUUGCGAAGUGAUUGGAAGUGGUUCCAAGAAAAGCCUCUAAGCUUCAGCUGUACGAGACCGUACCGCAAACCGACACAGGUGGACGGGAUGAAUAUUCCAAGGCGCUUGAGAGAACUCAGGAGAAGGAACUCGGCAAAUUCCUGUAACUUCGGG
rnacentral:rRNA from 1 species